AGCGCUAACAGCUCCGGCCGACUGCUUGAGCGCUUCUUGGUGCGACUGCAGCGAUCAGUUUCUUGUGGUGUGUGUAUGUGUACGGAAAAAUUUAUAUAGUGUGCUCUCUCUCUUUCUCGCUCCUCUGAGUGUUCGAAAUUGGAACGUGGAAAACUGUUCUCUGCUCGGAUUGAUUCAGAAAGGAACUGUAAUAAUAUUCGGAUCUAAGUGAUGUUCAAUUUACGGAUUUAGUUUGAAUGUGAUUUGUGACUUCGGUUUAUUUUUUCCGAAAUGGAUUUAUCAAAGUUUUCCGGUGCGAAAAGGUAAUUGAAGCGGGAGAAAUUACCGGAACAUGAAAUACUAAUUUUUUCGUGGAUUUGGAAUUUUUUCACGGAGGAAAAUAAUUGCGGAAAAUGUGGCUUGAAAAGCGAUUUCGAUUAAUUGUGGCCGUGCUUGGAAUUUACUCAUUUUCUGCCGUCUUCGCAGCGGUCCAAGAAAUAUCAGGUAAAAUGUCCUGUUUCCUCAUAAACACCGGCAAACUUUGUUCCAUCGGUCUUCUUUUGUGCCAUGGUUGGAUAUAUGAAAGGAACAACUUUGUGGUUUAAAAACAUGAUCUUUUUGCAUAAAAAGGGAUUUUAUUUCUUUGGGAGAUCUCCAAGAAACAGCACUUAAAUAUUAAUUAUUCUGUAAAACAACAUGUCUCAUGUUUACAUAAACGUUUUCUUUUGUAUUGUAAUCAAUAAAUAGCAUUUUG